AUGACUGCGUUGGUUCGGCUCGCCGGGAGAGCAGCUUCUUGGAGCAGGGGCGCCGGCAUCGCGGCUCCGCGUGGCCUCGGCUUGUUCCCGCAGCGCAGGGCCGCGUUCCAGGGCGCGAGGAUGGAUAACGGCGGCGGCAAGGGCGGCCGCGGCGCGCUCAUAGUCCUGGAAGGGCUGGACAGAAGCGGCAAGUCGUCGCAGAGCGCCCGGCUGCUGUCCUUUCUGGAAGGGAAAGGCUGCGCAACCGAAGGGUGGCGCUUCCCGGACAGAGACACCAGCGUCGGGAAGAUGAUCUCCGCGUACCUUGCCAACGAGUCGCAGCUCGAUGACCGGACCAUCCAUUUGCUCUUCAGUGCGAACCGCUGGGAGAAAAGAAGUUUGAUGGAGAGCAAGCUACUUGGUGGGACUACACUCGUCGUUGACCGCUAUUCUUAUUCUGGAGUUGCAUUUUCAGCUGCUAAAGGACUUGACAUUGGGUGGUGCAAGGCCCCUGAGGUUGGACUGCUAGCCCCAGAUCUUGUAAUAUAUCUUGAUGUACAACCAGAGAAAGCGGCCGAAAGAGGAGGCUAUGGGGGUGAAAGAUACGAAAGAGUUGAGUUCCAAAAGAGAGUUGCUGAGCAUUACCAUUCACUCCGUGAUUCGACAUGGAAGGUCGUCGAUGGUUCCCUUCCCAUGGAGACCGUGGAAGAACAGCUAAGAGAACUAGCCAUGAAUUGCAUUUCAGAAUGCCAAGACAAGCAACUUACCAAUCUUCCCUGGUAG
rnacentral:rRNA from 1 species